UACGUAGGGGGCAAGCGUUAUCCGGAUUUACUGGGUGUAAAGGGAGCGCAGACGGCAGUGCAAGUCUGGAGUGAAAGCCCGGGGCCCAACCCCGGGACUGCUCUGGAAACUGUACGGCUAGAGUACGGGAGGGGCAGGCGGAAUUCCUAGUGUAGCGGUGAAAUGCGUAGAUAUUAGGAGGAACACCGGCGGCGAAGGCGGCCUGCUGGUCCGAAACUGACGUUGAGGCUCGAAAGCGUGGGGAGCAAACAGG
rnacentral:rRNA from 1 species